UUUUCUCAUUUGGAAUUAUAUAUAUGCAAUAAACAUGCAUAAGAUUUUUUUUUUACCGGGUUUAAUAGCUUCGGCCAUUUCUCUCCACGUUGUGUACUGCAAAGGGCCUCCGAAUUUUUCGAAAGUCAGAGAGGCAUCUCUUCCUGUCAACAAACGACUGUCGUGAUUAAUCCUGAAAGCUACAUCCUGAAAUAAAUAAAACACAAAUGUAUGAGUUGGAAAGGUCUGACUAGUUGUAUCCAGUCUGCAGAAAUUGCACCUAAAUUAUUGCAGGUUGCUGAUACCGCGGAUCCUAUGAGACCAAUAAAUACAUGGAAAAGUGA